UUAUAAAAGAAACUGCUUCUGAGAAGAUGGGUUUUGGAUUUGAAGCAGCUGCUUUUGUUGGAAAAGUUAAAAUGAAAACCACUGGAAGGUGUUUUCCCAAAGCAUCUCAGCUGCCCAGACAAGAUGUCAUGGCAGCAGCUCGUGUGUGCUCUUUGCUGCUGGAGCAGGACAAACAUUUUGCUUAACCACAAAACAACGCAUGAAAAAGAAAAGAAGAUAUAAAGAACCCAUGAUGCUGUCCUCCCAGUUGUUUUCAAUCACAUAAGCAAUUAUUGGGGCCAGGAUUACCCAGUUGUUUUCAAUCACAUAAGCAAUUAUUUGGGCCAGGAUUCUUCAGAUUUAGGCUGUCAGAGUUCAUCCUGUCACCACAGAAACCAUAAUACUAAAGCUCAAGUCCAAGGCAGAGGGAGAAGAUGCAGGGUGUGCUCUGAGUUUUGAGCAGAGACCUUUUCCCAUUGGCUUUUCCCUUGCAGGGUGACAGCUGAGCUCCUGCUCCCUUGUCUUUCUUUGCAUGCAGCAUGACCCUCUGGGCAGGAGACUUCCUUUGGGCUGCUCUUGUUUGGGUCUGGCUGACCACUGCAGCAGCAACCAUAAAUAGAAAGAUCAGCAAACAGUGUGCAAAACUGAGCACAGCAUGGUGACUCUUGCUGAGGUCUGUCAUGCUCAAAAUCCUUGAAAGCAAGUUUGUAUGGAAAUCUGCAUUAUUCUGGAAAUGCUGUCAAUAAUCCCUAAAAGAAUUACAAAUGUAGUGAGGUAAUGGAA
rnacentral:lncRNA from 12 species